rnacentral:rRNA from 1 species
ACUCCUACGGGAGGCAGCAGUGGGGAAUAUUGCACAAUGGGCGCAAGCCUGAUGCAGCCAUGCCGCGUGUAUGAAGAAGGCCUUCGGGUUGUAAAGUACUUUCAGCAGUGAGGAAGGCGGGUACGUUAAUAGCGUGCUCGUUUGACGUUAGCUGCAGAAGAAGCACCGGCUAACUCCGUGCCAGCAGCCGCGGUAAUACGGAGGGUGCGAGCGUUAAUCGGAAUUACGUGGGCGUAAAGCGCAUGCAGGUGGUUUGUUAAGUCAGAUGUGAAAGCCCGGGGCUCAACCUCGGAAUUGCAUUUGAAACUGGCAGACUAGAGUACUGUAGAGGGGGUAGGAAUUUCAGGUGUAGCGGUGAAAUGCGUAGAGAUCUGAAGGAAUACCGGUGGCGAAGGCGGCCCCUGGACAGAUACUGACACUCAGAUGCGAAAGCGUGGGAGCAAACAGGAUUAGAUACCCCGU